CUGUGCUGAGCCUCUGGAAGGGGGAAAGCAGUCUAGUCCCGCAAUGCUUUAGGAGGAUGAUAAUGAAAGUGAAGCAGUUUGCCUGUCCAGCCUUAGAUCUCCGCAGUCUUGGUGCCUUCCUGCCAUUCAGUCUCCUGCUGAGGUAAUAACCAGAACCAGGCCCUGGUCCUACAGUGAGUUCCCUUUGAAAGAUAGAGCUGCACAGAUCCAGGAUUUCCAAGGACACAAUUAUUGUUAAAAGAGGAAGUGAUCCUACUUCAUAUCAGUGGGGUUCGACAGCUCAACUCUUCUACUGCCUGAAUCACCUGAAUAGUGACUAGUGCCUUCAGGUGAGUUGAUCUUCUGCAGUUUGCUAAAAUAAACUGAUCUAAUCUUGUCUUGGAUGUUUUACAGUUGUGCAGACCCUGAGUUGCUGAUGAUAGCCUGUGGAAUUGAAGUCUAGCUCCU
ensembl:lncRNA